rnacentral:rRNA from 1 species
UCCUGGCUCAGGAUGAACGCUAGCGAUAGGCCUAACACAUGCAAGUCGAGGGGCAGCACAUGAGUAGCAAUACGAUGGUGGCGACCGGCGCACGGGUGAGUAACACGUAUGCAACCUACCUUUAACAGGGGAAUAACCCGUUGAAAAACGGACUAAUACUCCACAACACGAGGGGUCCCGCAUGGGAAUAUUUGUUAAAGAUUAAUCGGUUGAAGAUGGGCAUGCGUUCCAUUAGCUUGUUGGUGAGGUAACGGCUCACCAAGGCCACGAUGGAUAGGGGAACUGAGAGGUUUAUCCCCCACACUGGAACUGAGACACGGUCCAGACUCCUACGGGAGGCAGCAGUGAGGAAUAUUGGUCAAUGGAGGCAACUCUGAACCAGCCAAGUCGCGUGAAAGGAUGAAGGUCUUAUGGAUUGUAAACUUCUUUUGCAAGGGAAUAAAGUGGGGGACGUGUCCUCCUUUGCAUGUACCUUGCGAAUAAGGAUCGGCUAACUCCGUGCCAGCAGCCGC